UACGUAGGGACCAAGCGUUGUUCGGAUUUACUGGGCGUAAAGGGCGCGUAGGCGGCAAUUCAAGUCAGCUGUGAAAUCUCCGAGCUUAACUCGGAACGGUCAGCUGAUACUGUUUUGCUAGAGUGCAGAAAGGGCAACCGGAAUUCCCGGUGUAGCGGUGAAAUGCGUAGAGAUCGGGAGGAAGGCCGGUGGCGAAGGCGGCGCUCUGGAACAUUUCUGACGCUGAGGCUCGAAAGCGUGGGGAGCAAACAGG
rnacentral:rRNA from 1 species